UACGUAGGGUGCAAGCGUUAAUCGGAAUUACUGGGCGUGAAGCGUGCGCAGGCGGCUUUGCAAGACAGAUGUGAAAUCCCCGGGCUUAACCUGGGAACUGCAUUUGUGACUGCAUGGCUGGAGUGCGGCAGAGGGGGAUGGAAUUCCGCGUGUAGCAGUGAAAUGCGUAGAUAUGCGGAGGAACACCGAUGGCGAAGGCAAUCCCCUGGGCCUGCACUGACGCUCAUGCACGAAAGCGUGGGGAGCAAACAGG
rnacentral:rRNA from 1 species